AGGACGAACGCUGGCGGCGUGCCUAACACAUGCAAGUCGAACGAGGUCCAUGCAGUGGCAACACUGCGGAAGACCUAGUGGCGAACGGGUGAGUAACACGUGAGGAACUUGCCCCGGAGACCGGGAUAACCCUCCGAAGGGAGAGCUAAUACCGGAUGUCCUCACCGAGUCGCAUGGCUUGGUGAGGAAAUGGAUUCCGCUCCGGGAGAGCCUCGCGGCCUAUCAGCUAGUUGGUGGGGUAACGGCCCACCAAGGCGUCGACGGGUAGCUGGUCUGAGAGGACGAUCAGCCACACUGGGACUGAGACACGGCCCAGACUCCUACGGGAGGCAGCAGUGGGGAAUCUUGCGCAAUGGGCGAAAGCCUGACGCAGCAACGCCGCGUGCGGGAUGAAGGCCCUCGGGUUGUAAACCGCUUUCAGUGGGGACGAACCAAGACGGUACCCACAGAAGAAGCCCGGCCAACUACGUGCCAGCAGCCGC
rnacentral:rRNA from 1 species